AGUGAACGCUGGCGAUAGGCCUAACACAUGCAAGUCGAACGGCAGCACAGUAAGAGCUUGCUCUUACGGGUGGCGAGUGGCGGACGGGUGAGGAACACAUCGGAAUCUACUUUUUCGUGGGGGAUAACGUAGGGAAACUUACGCUAAUACCGCAUACGACCUACGGGUGAAAGCAGGGGAUCUUCGGACCUUGCGCGAUUGAAUGAGCCGAUGUCGGAUUAGCUAGUUGGCGGGGUAAAGGCCCACCAAGGCGACGAUCCGUAGCUGGUCUGAGAGGAUGAUCAGCCACACUGGAACUGAGACACGGUCCAGACUCCUACGGGAGGCAGCAGUGGGGAAUAUUGGACAAUGGGCGCAAGCCUGAUCCAGCCAUACCGCGUGGGUGAAGAAGGCCUUCGGGUUGUAAAGCCCUUUUGUUGGGAAAGAAAAGCAGCAGGUUAAUACCCCGCUGUUCUGACGGUACCCAAAGAAUAAGCACCGGCUAACUUCGUG
rnacentral:rRNA from 1 species